GUUUAGACGCAGCUCGAAUGCCUUUACGCUAUAGGCUGUGUUAAGCAUGCUUCUUUGACAAAAAAGAAAGUCUUUUUCCAUGACAACAGUCGAGACUAUACUAUAAAGGGCGGGGCAGUAAGCUCUCUAUCAACAACAGGGGGCUGUUCUCCUUUGUCAACUCCUUGCUUGUGUCGUUGACUUUGUCAACGCGGACCGGGGCGAGCGGAAUUCAGUAGAGGCUCGAAGAUACUAAGC
rnacentral:lncRNA from 1 species